GACGAACGCUGGCGGCGUGCCUAAUACAUGCAAGUAGAACGCUGAAGGAGGAGCUUGCCUCUCUGGAUGAGUUGCGAACGGGUGAGUAACGCGUAGGUAACCUGCCUGGUAGCGGGGGAUAACUAUUGGAAACGAUAGCUAAUACCGCAUAAGAGUAGAUGUCGCAUGACAUUUGCUUAAAAGGUGCACUUGCAUCACUACCAGAUGGACCUGCGUUGUAUUAGCUAGUUGGUGAGGUAACGGCUCACCAAGGCAACGAUACAUAGCCGACCUGAGAGGGUGAUCGGCCACACUGGGACUGGGACACGGCCCAGACUCCUACGGGAGGCAGCAGUAGGGAAUCUUCGGCAAUGGACGGAAGUCUGACCGAGCAACGCCGCGGGAGUGAAGAAGGUUUUCGGAUCGUAAAGCUCUGUUGUAAGGGAAGAACGAGUGUGAGAGUGGAAAGUUCACACUGUGACGGUAUCUAACCAGAAAGGGACGGCUAACUACGUG
rnacentral:rRNA from 1 species